ensembl:rRNA 5S_rRNA 5S ribosomal RNA
GUCUACAGCGAUCCCACCGUAAAUACACCUCUCAUGUGAUCUUGAAAGCUGAGCAGGGUCGGGCCUCAUUAGUACUUGGAUGGGAGAGAGAGGCUCAGCAAGGGUAGGGCAAGGAGGCAGGUACAGAAU